rnacentral:rRNA from 1 species
GACAGAGGGUGCAAACGUUGCUCGGAAUUACUGGGCGUAAAGCGCGUGUAGGCGGAUCGGAAAGUCGGGCGUGAAAUCCCCAGGCUCAACCUGGGAACUGCACCCGAAACUCCCGGUCUUGAGUGGUGGAGAGGGAAGUGGAAUUCCUGGUGUAGAGGUGAAAUUCGUAGAUAUCAGGAGGAACACCAGUGGCGAAGGCGGCUUCCUGGACACCAACUGACGCUGGAGACGCGAAAGCCGUGGGGAGCAAACAGG